UACAUGGGGUGCAAACGUUGCUCGGAAUUAUUGGGCGUAAAGCGCGCGUAGGCGGUUACUUAAGUCGGAUGUGAAAGCCCUCGGCUUAACUGAGGAAGUGCACCCGAAACUGAGUAGCUAGAGUACGAAAGAGGGUCGCGGAAUUCCCGGUGUAGAGGUGAAAUGCGCAGAUAUCAGGAGGAACACCGGUGGCGAAGGCGGUUCUCUGGGCAUGUUCUGACGCUGAGGAGCGAAAGUGUGGGGAGCGAACAGG
rnacentral:rRNA from 1 species